GCUGCCUCCCGACCACAACAGGCUUACCUGUUGCUGCACUGUGGUAACAACAGUUUGUGAGCGUGAUGUCGCGAGGUUUUCCUUCAGAGGAGCUGCGAACACAGAUGAAAGUGUGAGGACAGUCAUCAUGCUGGACCUUUAAUCUUCAGCUUCUCAUGUGAAGAUGCUGCAAAACAAACAGAGCUGGACAAGAACAGAUGACAGGGAAACAGGGGAUGCUGAAGAUGGAUGAGACCGUCUCUCACGUGCAAGAAAAACCGCCUCGCGAGCCGCCACUCCCCUGCCGGUCUCUGGCUACCACACACCUAAUCAGUCCUGAUUAGAUGCACUGUAAGGGACGAGGAAGCCGGGCUUUCAGAAGUUAUGAUGACAGAACAGAAGAAAGCGAUGGGCUCCCUUAAAUAAAGCCUUCAUCAGGGCAUUGAGCAGAAACAUCUGUGUGUGUUUAUGCCUGCUGGAUUUAACAGUAGUCAGAUCUCCAACUUAUUCCUCUGGUGUCAUCCCAAUUUACCUCUCUUUUCCUUUAACGCCCUUCAGUCCAUAGCUCUUCUUUUAACACCAUCAGCUUCAUAAUCACACACA